AUCAACUUUCGAUGGUAGGAUAGAGGCCUACCAUGGUGGUAACGGGUAACGGGGUGUUAGGGCACGACACCGGAGAGGGAGCCUGAGAAACGGCUACCACAUCCAAGGAUGGCAGCAGGCGCGCAAAUUACCCAAUCCCGACACGGGGAGGUAGUGACAAUAAAUAACAAUACGGGGUUCUUUCGGAUCUCGUAAUUGGAAUGAGUACAAUUUAAAUCUCUUAACGAGGAACAAUUGGAGGGCAAGUCUGGUGCCAGCAGCCGCGGUAAUUCCAGCUCCAAUAGCGUAUAUUAAAGUUGUUGCAGUUAAAAAGCUCGUAGUUGAAUUUCGGGGUCAAUAAGUUGGUCGUGCCAAUGGUAUGUACUGGCUUUAUUGAUUCCUACCUCUUGACGAACUGUGAUGCCAUUAAUUUGGUGUUGCAGGAAAUCAGGACUGUUACCUUGAAAAAAUUAGAGUGUUUAAAGCAGGCUUACGCUUGAAUACAUUAGCAUGGAAUAAUGAAAUAGGACGUUUGAACCUAUUUUGUUGGUUUCUAGGAUCGACGUAAUGAUUAAUAGGGAUAGUUGGGGGCAUUAGUAUUCAAUUGUCAGAGGUGAAAUUCUUGGAUUUAUUGAAGACUAACUACUGCGAAAGCAUUUGCCAAGGAUGUUUUCAUUAAUCAAGAACGGAAGUUAGGGGAUCGAAGACGAUCAGAUACCGUCGUAGUCUUAACCAUAAACUAUGCCGACUAGGGAUCGGAUGAUGUUAAUUUUUUAAUGACUCAUUCGGCGCCUUACGGGAAACCAAAGUGUUUGGGUUC
rnacentral:rRNA from 1 species